UACGUAGGGCGCAAGCGUUGUCCGGAAUUAUUGGGCGUAAAGAGCUCGUAGGUGGUCUGUUACGUCCGCUGUGAAAACCCAGGGCUUAACCCUGGGCUUGCAGUGGAUACGGGCAGACUAGAGGCAGGUAGGGGAGAAUGGAAUUCCCGGUGUAGCGGUGAAAUGCGCAGAUAUCGGGAGGAACACCGGUGGCGAAGGCGGUUCUCUGGGCCUGACCUGACGCUGAGGCGCGAAAGCGUGGGGAGCGAACGGG
rnacentral:rRNA from 1 species